rnacentral:rRNA from 1 species
CCCUACGGGGGGCAGCAGUGGGGAAUAUUGCACAAUGGGGGGAACCCUGAUGCAGCGACGCCGCGUGAGUGAAGAAGUAUUUCGGUAUGUAAAGCUCUAUCAGCAGGAACGAAAAUGACGGUACCUGACUAAGAAGCCCCGGCUAACUACGUGCCAGCAGCCGCGGUAAUACGUAGGGGGCAAGCGUUAUCCGGAUUUACUGGGUGUAAAGGGAGCGUAGACGGCGAUGCAAGUCUGAAGUGAAAGGCGGGGGCCCAACCCCCGGACUGCUUUGGAAACUGUAUGGCUGGAGUGCAGGAGAGGUA